rnacentral:rRNA from 1 species
UACGUAGGGCGCAAGCGUUUGUCCGGAAUUAUUGGGCGUAAAGAGCUCGUAGGCGGUUUGUUGCGUCGGCUGUGAAAUCCCGAGGCUCAACCUCGGGUCUGCAGUCGAUACGAGCAAACUAGAGUGUUGCAGGGGAGACUGGAAUUCCUGGUGUAGCGGUGAAAUGCGCAGAUAUCAGGAGGAACACCGGUGGCGAGGGCGGGUCUCUGGGCAACAACUGACGCUGGAGGAGCGAAAGCGUGGGGAGCGAACAGG